CCAAUAGCGUAUAUUAAAGUUGUUGCAGUUAAAAAGCUCGUAGUUGAAUUUCGGGGUUCUACGGUCGGUCGGGCUAACGUCUGUACUGGUGUGUAGAAUUCCUACCUUCUGGGGAACCAUCAUGUUAUUAAUUUAGCGUGGUGGGAAACCAGGACCUUUACCUUGAAAAAAUUAGAGUGUUCAAAGCAGGCUUAUGUCUGAAUACAUUAGCAUGGAAUAAUAAAAUAGGACGGUGGUCCUGUUUUGUUGGUUUCUGAAUCACCGUAAUGAUUAAUAGGGAUAGUUGGGGGCAUUAGUAUUCAAUUGUCAGAGGUGAAAUUCUUGGAUUUAUUGAAGACUAACUUCUGCGAAAGCAUUUGCCAAGGAUGUUUUCAUUAAUCAAGAACGAAAGUUAGGGGAUCGAAGACGAUCAGAUACCGUCGUAGUCUUAACCAUAAACUAUGCCGACUAGGGAUCGGACGAUGUUAAUUUUUCUUGACUCG
rnacentral:rRNA from 1 species